UCCCUAGUGGUCCAGUGAUUAGGACUCUGCGCUUCCACUGCGGGCGGCACAGGUUCGAUCCCUGGUCAGGGAA
rfam:TPA: Bos taurus chromosome 3, whole genome shotgun sequence.